rnacentral:rRNA from 1 species
AGUGAACGCUGGCGGUAGGCCUAACACAUGCAAGUCGAACGGCAGCACAGUAAGAGCUUGCUCUUACGGGUGGCGAGUGGCGGACGGGUGAGGAAUACAUCGGAAUCUACUUUUUCGUGGGGGAUAACGUAGGGAAACUUACGCUAAUACCUCAUACUACCUACGGGUUAAAGCAGGGUAUCUUCGGACCUUUCCCGAUUUAAUGAGCCGAUGUCGGUUUAGCUAGUUGGCGGGUGAAAGGCCAACCAAGGGGACGAUCCGUAGCUGGUCUGCGAGGAUGACCAGCAACCCUGGAAUUGGGACAGGGUCCAGACUCCUAGGGGAGGAAGCAGUGGGGAAUAUUGGAAAUGGGGCGCAAGCUGGAUCCAGAAAUACGGCGUGGGGGAGGAAGGCUUCCGGGUUGUAAAGCCCGUUUGUUGGGAAAGAAAAGCGGCAGGUUAAUACCCCGAUGUUCUGACGGUAGCCAAAGAAUAAGCACCGGCUAACUUCGUG